GGGUUCUUCAGCCUUGAAUAGGAUUGCUUUUAUUGUUGUUCCUCUUAAAUACUUAACAUCCCGGAAGGUUCCAGUUUAAGCAUCUUGAGAGGCCAGGCAGGUGACAUGGUACAUGAUGCUGUCACUUGGCUCAUGCUGAGUGAAUCAUUCAGGGCCACAGUCUUAUCACUGCUAUUCUAAAGUAACCCAAAGUCCAGGCUACUUCUCUUAGUCAGUCUCCGUGUGUUGUGUCAUUAUUAGCAUAAUAGUUUAUCUGCCUCCAGAAGUUGGGAGUGUAGGUCUCUCUGCCACCCAUUACUGGCUCUUUCCAGUCUCGGGAUGAACUCAUCCAGUUCUGAGCUCCUUCCUUCUCUGGAUCUCACUCAACAGCAGCAGUGACUGUGAGAAACUAGUGGUCCCCUUCCUAAGGCUACGGAGAAGACACGGUACACGCAUGGUCCAGAGCCUGGGCUUUCUAAGGUCAGGGAUGGCCUGGUGAUCAAGGUUAGUGAUUGUUUCACUAGGAAAGCAGAUGCCUCUCCCAGUUAGGGGAAAGCAGACAGGCAGAAAAGCUGAGUGAGACUCAAACUCGCCUUUCUUAUGUGUCAUGACUGAAACAUGACGACUUGAACAAGCAUCACAUUUUAUGAACCUGACACUGCUGAAAACAUAGUAUAAAGGAGCUUUCUUUCUUUCUUUCUUUCUUCCUUUCUUUCUUUCUUUCUUUCUUUCUUUCUUUCUUUCUUUCUUUCGUCGUAAGAACAGAGAGCAUCGAUAAAAAGGCCAUUGGCACUAGAAUUUUGGAAACCUGAUCAGGGAGUUGCAGAAUCCUUAUUUACCAGACACUCUUUCCCAUUCCAGCGGCCAUCCAUGUCUGCUGUAUUAGUUCUCUGUCUUAAUUGGGGGCCACCUGAGAGCUAGGAGAAUCUUCUAGCAUGAAUGAACAAACCCCCAGACAGCAAUUCAAAGAACCAGUUAAAAAGAAGACUGAAAAACUGAAUUACUACCUCCACAGAGAGGAGAAAAAUAAAGAUGUAAAAUCAAAAUGAACAUCAGGGAAAAUAAAUU
rnacentral:lncRNA from 1 species